rnacentral:rRNA from 1 species
CCUACGGGAGGCAGCAGUGAGGAAUAUUGGUCAAUGGACGAGAGUCUGAACCAGCCAAGUAGCGUGAAGGAUGACUGCCCUAUGGGUUGUAAACUUCUUUUAUAUGGGAAUAAAAUGUUCCACGUGUGGGAUUUUGUAUGUACCAUAUGAAUAAGGAUCGGCUAACUCCGUGCCAGCAGCCGCGGUAAUACGGAGGAUCCGAGCGUUAUCCGGAUUUAUUGGGUUUAAAGGGAGCGUAUGUGGAGUGUUAAGUCAGUUGUGAAAGUUUGCGGCUCAACCGUAAAAUUGCAGUUGAAACUGGCAGUCUUGAGUACAGUAGAGGUGGGCGGAAUUCGUGGUGUAGCGGUGAAAUGCUUAGAUAUCACGAAGAACUCCGAUUGCGAAGGCAGUUCACUGGACUGCAACUGACACUGAGGCUUGAAAGUGUGGGUAUCAAACAGGAUUAGAUACCCCUGUAGUC